CACGUAGGGCGCGAGCGUUGUCCGGAAUUAUUGGGCGUAAAGAGCUCGUAGGCGGCCUGUUGCGUCCGCUGUGAAAGCCCGGGGCUUAACCCCGGGUCGGCAGUGGAUACGGGCAGGCUAGAGGUAGGUAGGGGAGAAUGGAAUUCCCGGUGUAGCGGUGAAAUGCGCAGAUAUCGGGAGGAACACCGGCGGCGAAGGCGGUUCUCUGGGCCUGUACUGACGCUGAGGAGCGAAAGCGUGGGGAGCGAACAGG
rnacentral:rRNA from 1 species